AGUUUUGUUCAGUGUGGGGACAUGAGUGUCGGUGCCAGCAGACACCUUGGUAAUGAGCAGGUGUUAGAUCCUGUGUCGGUGUCAUGGCAACAGUUGUGGGGCUUCAUUGCUGUGAGGGUGCUGUUUGGGUUUUCAUCAUGGAUUGUGAAAAAUGAUGAAUCAGGAGACUCAGAUUUGUUGGUCAUAUAAUAUCAGUAUUGUGUUAUUUUUUCCAAGAUGACCGCCCAAUAUAUUCCAGUGUAUAACAUGAAGGCUGCAGAGCAUAUGCUUGUGCAGAUGAACAUGAGCUGAAGUGGCACAGUGUUGGGAAUGUACAUAUAUGUGUGUUGGUUCAGAUUUACUUUUACCUUAUAUCGGGCAAACUCAAACAUUUAUUUUGAUAUCUGUCUUCAGCUUUUAUGGGUUUGCGGUCAGGAAGUUGAAACUUUUGACAAUUGAAGCUGGUUGGCCAUUGGUGUACCAAUUGUUUCUUUCCAUUUAUUCAACUGUUUGAUGUACUGUAUUUGCCAUAUUAAGCAGUAUGGCCACUAAGCACCCCGACUAACUUCUGUGCCAGUGUUUAAGUGAUCCUUACAUGUGCCUAAUACAAAGCUGCAGCAGCUUGUCCAUGGUAUACAUAACCUCUCCAUCUCAUUUGUCUAAAGGCGGACUCACAUGGGUCGGCCCCUCGAAUCGAUAUGCCGAAUUUGACAGAUUCGUAUCGUCUGAGUGACUAAUCGAAUUCAGCAAAUGGUACAAAUCGGCCGCUCAAUCCCCUGUUGAUUGUGUCGCGAGCUUGUAGAGCCUGAUGUAGUUAUUCGGCAAAUUGCAUGUGGCACAGCCAAUCAAACUGCCUUUGGGUGUCACAUGGUAAAUGUUUACAUAUAAGCAUGAAACAUGGCUUUGUCUGCUUCAAAGAAACCACGCCUCGAUUUUUCAUCAGAGCAAACGGAGCGUUUCAUGGCUUAUUCAGGAGUCACGAAACACUGUGGAAUAUCAUGAGCAGGCAUUAUUCCAAAAUAGAAAAAAGGAAUGCUGUGCUGACGGCGAUCAGCUUGGCAUUUCUGGAAAAGUCACUGUUGCCUUCUUCGUAUAGUAUCUAGAUAACUGCUGCUAAGUCCGCCUUAGACAUUUUAAUACCAUGAAAACAAAAUACCGCGACAUAUUAUCAGAUCGAGCUGCAAACUGAUCAGUCGAUAAUCAAACAUGUUGUACAGUAUAAGGUAAUCGGCAGGUGGUUAUAACGUGCCAAGCCUGUGAGUCGCUCUUAAAGUGCUGAGCUUGCAUGUCAUGGCAAGUACAGUAUGUGUGUUCAUCUUUUCUUCUAAUAUGUCCCAGUGGACACCAUGUUGAUUACUGAUGAUGUUACUUGUGUUACAAGUGCCAUUACUUGUACAUACCGAAGGUGGAUGUAAUUCUCAGUAUGUGUACAUUAUUGUUGGCCUGUUGUUGUCCAUGACAUGCUCAACACUGUCUUGUACAUUAUCUGAAUGGGAAACUUCAUCAGUGAUGUGUUUUAAACUGGUUUGAAAUAUUAUGUAUGCAUAUAUCUCAGUCUUUGUCACUGAAACAAUUCCCUGUCAAGUAUAUGGACGUUUACUGUCAUUACCACUGAACAGAAGCUAUGUUUGUGUCUGUGGAAUAUGACCAGUGUUUAGGGAUGACUGAGGGAGAUCAAGUGAGGGGAUUAAAAGGUUUUAACACCACUUUGAACAACAGCCCAGCGACAUUGAUGUAACAAUCUAAGAUUGAGGUAGAUCCUAAUAUGACACAACUUAAAGGUAUGUUUGUCAUUUGGUGAAGCCAGCACACUCUAAUAUGGUGCUGACAGAUCAGGGGGAAUCUUGGGUCCAACCUUGAUCAGCUGAUCCGCACAGCUAAGGGAGGUUAUCUUACACAGCUGACUGCGUCACUCUGGAACAGUUGGCUCCGUUGAUAUCCUGGCUGCCAACAUAGGUGAAACAAAAAUGGGUCCGUCCAAUAUCAGAUAUGUGCAUAAUUCUUGUGGGACCUUGCAUGAUUAUUGCAGACAAAGUGUUCAGAACCACAGUUUAUUGUGUUCAUAUUUACCUCUUUUAUGCUUUCAUUAUAUUCAUACAAGGCAUUAUGUGAUUUCUUGAUGAGUUUUGUUACAUUUCAUGAAAUUUGUCUUAUGAAAUGCAAACACAAUAAUAUGCUAUUUUGGUCUUUCAAAUUGAGAGAUAUUUAGCGUUGCACAUGGGACAUGUUAAACAUUCAUCAUCAGUGCAUGUGUUAUUAAUGUCAGUAUUUGAUAGAUGUCUUCAAGAAUAAGAUUUGGGGGGGAUAUUGUAACUGUACAUGGAAAGACUGGAGCUAUGAUUUGUAUGUCUUGAUUGCUCAUUGCAAUAAGAAUGGGGUCCUGUGAUAGCCUAUCAUCGUGCAUGGCAGCAGUUACAGUGAGCAUGUCAUGCAGUAUAAGAAGAAAACACUUGCAGUGGACAUAUGAGGACUAUGUAAUCCUUCAAUGGACGGUAGUUCAGGAGCAGUGGGAGGUAAGGAACACUAGAAAAACAUGGAUGGCUUGAGAUGCUGUCAAGUUGUACCGGUAGCUUGUGGCAAAAACUGACAUGGCUGUCACUGGUUGGGCAGGCAUUGGAUGCAGUUGAAAAUGUAUGCUACUUUGAUUCAUUGAUAACCUUUAACUGUUACAGUUUGUCAAGGAAACUCUCUUGAGAAGGGAAUUAAUGUAUGUGAUGUUGCACAGAUCUUCUGUGUUUAUUGUAUGUGUGUACUCUAUGGCCAGUAUCAUAUCUGGGCUCUCUUCCAUUGGUCUUGCCAUGUUGUCAGUCACUGUUGUUGAUCUAAAGUCCAAAUGGGAACCGUGGUGUUGAGGAGCCUGGGCACUUGUACAUAAUGUUCUACCUUGUUAAAUUACAUUUGAUUCAUUCCAUUGUCUGCUCGCUCCAUUAUUUAGCAGGAAUGGAGCGAUGUGUACCAGUUUCAAAUGUAAGACUUUGAUAGUUUGUUCGACAUCAUACUCUUUGCAUUACAUUUGGCUUUUUAAAUUGCCAAUACUUUGAACGUAUUUUAAGUAGGUAAUAUCCUUGCAACUCUCCAUUCAGCUGCAUUAUUUUUACGGAAUGAAGAGUUACUCGGACAUUACCCUCUAUAUAUAUACACUCAAAAUAGUGUUGCCAAAACUAUGGAAAACUAGUAAUGACAUUGAUUUUGAUUUCCUGAGAUCUCUUGCUGGAGUCUGUAUAAGCCUGUGUAACAUCUCUUAGUUAGAAACUGUACAAAGGUCCUUUGUAUUCUGUUCCCAAAGAGUAUGGUAAUUUAUGGAACAUUGUGAUACAAGGGUAAUGAAUGUAUUAUUGCAGGAAUAAUUGAUUAAGACAAAUUAAUACUUUCAGAAAAUUGUUUUUGAAUUGUUUUUGAAGAUGAUCGUCUACAUUUGUACCAUAUGCUUGGAUAGAUAGAAAAUUAAAGUUUAUCUCAGGGGAUGGAGUAGUGUUUGUUAAAAAGUAUUUUAACUUUCCGACAUUUGCAAAUCUAGGAAAAAGUGAUUCAGUUGUAAUUGUUAUUUCUUAAAUAGAGUAGUACCUACACUAGUGGUGACUGUCGCUUGCUGGACAAUAGUAGAAAUAGGAAACAGUACAUGUAAUGGAUUAGCAGCCUAGCUCUUUGGCUGUGUUCAUCAUAGACCUUGUUUGAGUUUUCAUCAUGUCAGCAAUGCUGUUUGUGUCUCAACGGGCUAAUGUUGUACUAUGCGUCUGUUUGUAGCAAUGCUGUUUGUGUCUCAACGGGCUAAUGUUGUACUAUGCGUCUGUUUGUAGCAAUGUUGUUUGUGUCUCAACGGGCUAAUGUUGUACUAUGCGUCUGUUUGUAGCAACAUUGUACCAUGUGUCUAUUUGUAGCAAUGCUGAUUGUCUCAAGGGGCUAAUGUUGUACCAUGUGUCUGUUUGUAGCAACAUUGUACCAUGUGUCUGUUUGUAGCAACAUUGUACCAUGUGUCUGUUUGUAGCAACAUUGUACCAUGUGUCUAUUUGUAGCAAUGCUGAUUGUCUCAAGGGGCUAAUGUUGUACUAUGCGUCUGUUUGUAGCAAUGUUGUACCAUGUGUCUGUUUGUAGCAAUGCUGUUUGUCUCAAGGGGCUAAUGUUGUACCAUGUGUCUGUUUGUAGCAACAUUGUACCAUGUAUCUGUUUGUAGCAAUGCUGUUUGUCUCAAGGGGCUUAUGUUGUACCAUGUGUCUGUUUGUAGCAACAUUGUACCAUGUGUCUGUUUGUAGCAAUGCUGUUUGUCUCAAGGAGCUAAUGUUGUACCAUGUGUCUGUUUGUAGCAAUGCUGUUUGUCUCAAGGGGCUAAUGUUGUAACAUGUGUCUGUUUGUAGCAAUGCUGUUUGUCUCAAGGGGCUUGUAUUGUUGCUUGUAUCUGUUUGAUAGCAGUGUUCUGUGUGUCUCAAGAGGCUCAUGUUGUACCUCGUCUUUGUUUGAUGUGGAGAUUCAGACUGAUCAUUAAUGCCACAAAGAAACAGCAGGAAUCUCUGACCUGGAGUAGAGGGUAGUGAACAACACACCUGUCUGUUACAGGAGUUGGACACAGCUUAUCUUGUACAACGUCAGUGGUGACUUUUCAUUGUGCCUUGAAACAUGUCAAGUUGUUUGUUUUUUGGUUAGUAUUUGAAAGUUGAAGCUUGGUGGGAAGUGUUGUUGUGUUGUUUAAGUGUUGUUGUGUUGUUUAAGUGCUGUUUCCUGUUUCUAUGAAUCUGUGAUGACUGCACCAGGGUCUUGCAUGAGUAGUAGCAACACAAGUGUACAGUAGGACACAGCAAACACACCACCAUCUGAGGGCAUUCCUACACACUGCAUUACAUCUUCUCCAUGUCAGAAAUAGCAGAAUAUAUACUCUU
rnacentral:lncRNA from 1 species